rnacentral:rRNA from 1 species
UACGUAGGUCCCGAGCGUUGUCCGGAUUUAUUGGGCGUAAAGCGAGCGCAGGUGGUUUAUUAAGUCUGGUGUUAAAGGCUGUGGCUCAACCAUAGUAUGCUUUGGAAACUGUUCAACUUGAGUGCAGAAGGGGAGAGUGGAAUUCCAUGUGUAGCGGUGGAAUGCGUAGAUAUAUGGAGGAACACCGGUGGCGAAAGCGGCUCUCUGGUCUGUAACUGACGCUGAGGCUCGAAAGCGUGGGUAGCGAACAGG